AUUGAACGCUGGCGGCAGGCCUAACACAUGCAAGUCGAGCGAGCGGCGGACGGGUGAGUAAUGUCUGGGAAACUGCCUGAUGGAGGGGGAUAACUACUGGAAACGGUAGCUAAUACCGCAUACCAUCAGAUGUGCCCAGAUGGGAUUAGCUAUGAGGGGGGUUAACGGCUCACCUAGGCGACGAUCACUAGCUGGUCUGAGAGGAUUACCAGACACACUGGAACUGAGACAAGGUCCAGACUCCGACGGGAUGAAGAAGGGGGGAAUAUUGGAAAAUGGGCGAAAUCCUGAUCCAGCCAGGCCGCGUGUGUGAAGAAGGUCUUCGGAUUGUAAAGCACUUUAAGUUGGGAGGCGUUACCAACAGAAUAAGCACCGGCUAACUUCGUGCCAGCAGCCGCGGUAAGAC
rnacentral:rRNA from 1 species